GAGGGACUCCAUGAUACUGUCCCUUUGUAGCUGAGGUCAUCUCUACGGUAACACUGUAUUUAUCCAAUCAGAGGGACUCCAUGAUACUGUCCCUUUGUUGCUGAGGUCAUCUCUAUGGUAACACUGUAUUUAUCCAAUCAGAGGGACUCCAUGAUACUGUCCCUUUGUUGCUGAGGUCAUCACUAUGGUAACACUGUAUUUAUCCAAUCAGAGGGACUCCAUGAUACUGUCCCUUUGUAGCUGAGGUCAUCACUAUGGUAACACUGUAUUUAUCCAAUCAGAGGGACUCCAUGAUACUGUCCCUUUGUAGCUGAGGUCAUCACUAUGGUAACACUGUAUUUAUCCAAUCAGAGGGACUCCAUGAUACUGUCCCUUUGUAGCUGAGGUCAUCACUAUGGUAACACUGUAUUUAUCCAAUCAGACUUUGAGGCAGCAUGUACAGGGAUGUUUUUUACUUUGUCUCAGUUUAUUUUCUUCACAAAAUGGAGUCUUCAGAUGAAGCCUGACACACAAAGGGUAUUAAUGAGCCUGCUGAGAUGAAAAGAGGCUUUGUUUACAAAUGGAGCCUGACAGUAACUGAGCC